GACAGAGGGUGCAAACGUUGUUCGGAAUCACUGGGCGUAAAGCGCGUGUAGGCUGUCGCGAAAGUCGGGUGUGAAAGCCCUGGGCUCAACCUAGGAAGUGCACCCGAAACUGCGGGACUUGAGUGUCGGAGAGGGAAGCGGAAUUCUCGGUGUAGAGGUGAAAUUCGUAGAUAUCGAGAGGAACACCAGCGGCGAAGGCGGCUUCCUGGACGAUAACUGACGCUGAGACGCGAAAGCGUGGGGAGCAAACAGG
rnacentral:rRNA from 1 species